rnacentral:rRNA from 1 species
UACGAAGGGUGCAAGCGUUAAUCGGAAUUACUGGGCGUAAAGGGUGCGUAGGCGGUUGUUUAAGUCUGUCGUGAAAUCCCCGGGCUCAACCUGGGAAUGGCGAUGGAUACUGGACAGCUAGAGUGUGUCAGAGGAUGGUGGAAUUCCCGGUGUAGCGGUGAAAUGCGUAGAGAUCGGCAGGAACACCAGUGGCGAAGGCGGCCACCUAGCCCGCACCUGACGCUGAGGCGCGACAGCGUGGGGAGCGAACUGG